rnacentral:rRNA from 1 species
AGUGAACGCUGGCGGCAGGCCUAAUACAUGCAAGUCGAACGGCAGCACAGUGGAGCUUGCUCCAUGGGUGGCGAGUGGCGGACGGGUGAGGAAUACAUGGGAAUCUGCCCAGUCGUGGGGGAUAACGUAGGGAAACUUACGCUAAUACCGCAUGCGCCCUUCGGGGGAAAGCCGGGGACCUUCGGGCCUGGCGCGAUUGGAUGAGCCCAUGUUCGAUUAGCUAGUUGGCGGGGUAAAGGCCCACCAAGGCGACGAUCGAUAGCUGGUCUGAGAGGAUGAUCAGCCACACUGGGACUGAGACACGGCCCAGACUCCUACGGGAGGCAGCAGUAGGGAAUAUUGGACAAUGGGCGCAAGCCUGAUCCAGCCAUGCCGCGUGAGUGAAGAAGGCCCUCGGGUUGUAAAGCUCUUUUGUCCGAGAAGAAAAGCAUCGGGCUAAUACCUCGGUGUUCUGACGGUACCGGAAGAAUAAGCACCGGCUAACUUCGUG